rnacentral:rRNA from 1 species
AACGAACGCUGGCGGCAUGCCUAACACAUGCAAGUCGAACGAGACCUUCGGGUCUAGUGGCGCACGGGUGCGUAACGCGUGGGAACCUGCCCUUAGGUUCGGAAUAACUCCCCGAAAGGGGUGCUAAUACCGGAUAAUGUCUUCGGACCAAAGAUUUAUCGCCUUUGGAUGGGCCCGCGUUGGAUUAGCUAGUUGGUAGGGUAAAAGCCUACCAAGGCGACGAUCCAUAGCUGGUCUGAGAGGAUGAUCAGCCGCACUGGGACUGAGACACGGCCCAGACUCCUACGGGAGGCAGCAGUGGGGAAUAGUGGACAAUGGGCGAAAGCCUGAUCCAGCAAUGCCGCGUGAGUGAUGAAGGCCUUAGGGUUGUAAAGCUCUUUUACCCGGGAUGAUAAUGACAGUACCGGGAGAAUAAGCUCCGGCUAACUCCGUG